CAGACUAGAAGAGGCUUGCUGAAUGGCUCUGCCUCCCUCGCUGGGUUUGACAUUCUCCCCAUUUGUCUUUCAUCGCUCCGAGUCUAUCGGGAAGAACGUCUGUUAGGAGCUUCGCAUCUCAUGACUGCCUCCUCCUCUGCAAUCACCUGAGAAAGAUCUCCAGAGGAACAAAAUGAUGACAACACUAACCUCUGAGGAUAAAACGUGCCUAAACACAGGCUGAAGGAGAACGCAAGGCUGCUGUACAUCUUUGGACUUCAACAACAUGUACUUGACUCAAAAGUUGAGUACUUUCACCAAGAAAAUUCAGUCUCUGACCAAAAAACGCCUAAAACCAGGUACUCAUCAAAACUCCAGCGACGUCUCAUGCUGCAGCAGGAGGAGGAAUAUGCAUUAUUAAAUCAAGCUAGACCUGCAUCCAGGUUGCACAAUACCAUCGCUCAGACCCCAGUUUUCUGAUAUUCCCUACUUCUGUACUACCAGAAAGGCAGCACCUUCUCCUGGAUGCUAUACCAACCCCCUGAGCACGUAAUUUGCCCAACUGCCCUCUACCCAACAUGAGUGCAAACGGCACAGAUCAGCUGGUUGUGGACAAGAGGAGCCACUGACAUGCUUCAGCAGCCCGGGCUGCCGGCAUUAUGUUCCCACACUGCUUUGAGGGAAAGGCUGUGGGCCAGAAAGAAAACACGCUGCAAACUGGAUCCCAGUUGUAGCCUGCUAGCUAGAGCCACGCUGACCAAACCACAGCUCAUCCUUGUAGCCAAAGAGAAGGUUGGGCAACUGCUGCUGUACAAAAGUAACUGCUAGAACAUGCUCCAUGCUGCUGAUUACAGAGGUAUUUCACGCCAAAAUCUCCCAUCCUAAAAAGACACCCUGGAAGGCAGUCUGUCAAUUAAAUCAAGGUGUAAUUUGAUAGAGAUGCGCUAAAAGCACUCAUAAUGUGAAACUGGGAUUCAUGGAUCAUGCACAGACAAGUCCCCUAAAUCGUCCAUCAUCUCUGAAGAUGAUAUGGGUAAGUCACUGGGAACAGAAACUCACAUGUAAUGCCACUUACACACUUCAGCACACUAACUUAUUGAAGUCGUAACCCACUGAUUAAAACCACGUUCCAUGUUUAUCUUCGGGUAUCAGCAAGCACCGACUGAUAAAUCACAGCUACAGGAAUUUUACCCAGAAGCUGGCACUAAGAAUUGCUACUCAGAGGUAUGAUAAGACGUAAAUUCAGAGAGCAGAUGGAGAUCAUGGGAUGAUAACAAAUGCUAUCAGUAGUUUACUGACAUGUCAUUGAAGAGCUAUGUGAGGCCCCCAUCCAACUGGCUUCCUAAAGAUAUAAGGAAACAGAAGAAAUAAGCUACAAUAGUAAGGAAAGACAAAUGAAAACAUUAACCAGCAGUUAGGAUGUCAAAUGGUUUGUAGUCGCUAGGCAGAUGAAGUAAGUACUCUGCAAACUUCUGUAUCAAAGUCUACAAUUGAGGCUUGACAUCAUCAGAAUAAAUCAGCAGCAGCACUCAAAAAACUAGUGUUGCUUUUGUUUGUUUGUUUUUUAUAGAAAAUAUCAUCUAAAGAUGUGCAAUGAUUAUGAAUUCUAAAAAAAGAAACUCAAAGUUCUUCUGUAUUAUUUAUGUUAAUCCUCACAACAGUGCUUACUCUGUCUGACUAUAGCCUUAUUAAACCAGUGUCAAGCAAAGCGCAGAAAUUUUGUAAGGUGUAUUUAGUCCUUAAAUGUGGGACACAGCUGGGAAAGGAACCUGAAUCUUAUCCUGUUGACUAUUGCCCGUUACACAAACUGUCCCCAGUUUGUACGGUAAAUGACUGUUGCCAUUUUUUUUAAGGUGAUCUUGAUAUCCCUGCUAGUUAAAUGAGGCAUUCCAAAAGAGAAAUAUUAAUUUUAAAACACAAGAAGGGAAACUGCAACAGUCUGUUUUCCAAAGAAUGAAAAUGCAAACCCAGCAUGAUGAAGAAAAUGUGCACACAUCCUAAACAUGCAUUUAUCUUAACCUUAGUAACCACACGAUUCCCAGAGAUUUAUUGAUAGAUUUUAUCAGUAAUAUAUGAACAGCAAUGAAGUGGAAGGUUAUAGCAGUGGGUGGUUUCCAACUGAAAAUGUAAGAAAGUAUCUUAUUUGCAAAAUGGUCUUCUCAUGAAACCACAAAAAAUUGCAGCUAGCACCACACCUUAAUCCAUGGGAGUGGUGAGAAGGAAAAACGAGAGUGCUAUGCGGUCUGUUAAGCCUUCAGGUUUAAAGGGCAUGGGUUACUAGAAGAACACAGUUCACCAAUAAGUAAUGUUUAAUAAUGAUGAUAAAACAAAUUAAAAAUGCUCAAAUAUUUUCAUGGACCAGAAGGGAAAUGGUCAUAAUAAGUUAUUAAAAUUCCAGAAACCAUGGGCUGGCGGCAGUUUCAGUAGUUUGUUUCAAUUUAAUAUAUCACUUCCAAAUUUCAGAAUUCCCUUACAGAAAUCCCACUCAUUGUGCAAAAAAAAUACAUCAUCUUAUUAAGCACUUAAAUAUUUACUGAGAACUUAGCAGCAUAAGCCCACAACUCCUCUUCCCUGCCUCUCAGCUCUCAUCUCUACUCCUCCCAGUUUUGCUGCCUACUCGUGCCAGGCUUUCUUGCCUGGAGCCACCAUGCUGCUCUUCAGAGCUCCCCAUCCACUGACAGUGAGCAAAUGGCAGCCACAAGGCAGAGGUUAACAGGGCCAUCUUUUGUAACUUUCGAAAUGACAACAGGGCUCUACACAUCUCACUGAAGAGUAAUAUAACCUCAUGGUCCAGCCUCAGUCUAGUUAGAGGAACAAAGUUUCAUGCUCAGGUUCCCUUGCAGACCACACAUGCUCCUAAACUAUGCAUUCCCUAUUUAACCUUUUCUUACCUCCCCCUCCAAAAUGAAAAGAAUAGAGCUUUCCGGAACAGAAGAUUAACGUUCACCCUUUUAUUUUAUUCAUUUGCAUUUACAGAAUCACAGAAUUGUUGAGGUUGGAAGGGACCUCCAGAGAUCACCUAGUUCAACCCCCUUGCUCAAGCAGGGUCAGCCAGAGCAUAUUAUGCAGGAUGGCAUCGGGGCAGGUUUUGAGUAUCUCCUGAGAAGACUCUACCACCUCUCCGGGUAGCCUGUUCCAGCGCUCUGUCUCCUGAACUGUAAAGUUCUUCCUCAUACAGCAAUGAAACCUCCUGUUGUUCAAUUUAUACCCAUUACCCCUUGCCCUGUCACUGGCCACCACUAAGAAGAGUUUGACCCCAUGAUCGUUACAAGGCCGCCUCAGGUAUUUGUAGAGAUUGAUGAGAUCCCCUCUCAAUCUUCUCUUCUCUUGGCUAAACAGGCCCAGCUCGCUUAGUCUUUCCUCCUGGGACAGAUGCUCCAAUCCCUUGAUCAUCUUUGUAAUCAUCUUUGUAAGCAUUUAGAAAGCAUAUAGGAGGCUGCAGACAGCAGAGCCCAGUGAUGUACCCAUUGCUGAAAGACGAGUCCACCAGCAGCUGCAGUCAGGCUUUUCAGCCAUUCUUUAGCUUGCUGGCACAGCAGCAGCUAUCACUGCUGCUCAUCUUCCACCCACAGCAUAGAAAAAACUCACAGUGCAUUUACUGACACUUCAUUUAGAACCGCAGCCUAACUCACUUUUUUGUGCUGUCCAAGCAGAGCUGACCUACAACACAAAGUUACAGCUAUAUAUUUGUACUGCCAUGAAGCACACAGCCCAUCCAUACGCUAAGGCUCUGCAAUGGGUCUCUGACUCAAAAAGUUUCUACAGCCUUGGACUAAGAUAAAAGCCAGAUGUCAAGUUCAGGUGCAGAAAACACAAGACAAUACUGACAUUUUAUCCAGCACCUUUCAAAUACUCAGAAUAAAGUAUUUUUAUAUAUCUUCUGGAUAAAGGAUAUUAAUGAAUAUUACUAGCAGAAAUAAGACUGUGCAGUGAUAACACAGCUAAGAAAAAACACGCAUCUAAAUAUUUAAUCAUGAUUUUACAUAUUUUGUAUGAGGUUUGUAUACAAACGGCUCCCUGUCACAAUACGAGCACUUCCCUCUCACCACGUAAGCUAGG